rnacentral:rRNA from 1 species
UACGUAGGUGGCGAGCGCUGUCCGGAUUUACUGGGCGUAAAGGGAGCGUAGGCGGACUUUUAAGUGAGAUGUGAAAUACUCGGGCUCAACUUGAGUGCUGCAUUUCAAACUGGAAGUCUAGAGUGCAGGAGAGGAGAAUGGAAUUCCUAGUGUAGCGGUGAAAUGCGUAGAGAUUAGGAAGAACACCAGUGGCGAAGGCGAUUCUCUGGACUGUAACUGACGCUGAGGCUCGAAAGCGUGGGGAGCAAACAGG